AAGAGUUACCAAGAGAAUAUGAACUCAAGGGAGGUCAAAUUGUAAUGUGUAUGAUGCUCGGCCAACUACUAAGGUAGAGGGGGCUCCUGCAGGUGGAGCCCAGGUGGCCCUUCUAUUGGUUGCAGCUCCAGCUCCACCUCCUUUCUCGGCACAUAAAUCUCCCAACUGGACUGAACCUCCGCCUAAUGUGAACAGAAGGUCCACACUCAGCGGCAGGCAGAGAGCAGCACACACAGCUGAGAGGAAACUCAGAGGAGGGAAUUGCCAAGAAAGUUGCCAUGGAGCUGAUCCCAAGCUUUUCUGUGGAAACCUGGGUUCUCCUGGCUACCAGCCUGGUGCUCCUCUAUCUAUAUGGAACUUAUUCACAUGGACUAUUUAAGAAGCUGGGGGUCCCUGGGCCAAGACCUCUGCCUUAUUUUGGAAACGUUCUGUCCUACCGAAAGGGUGUUUGUGAGUUUGAUGAAGAAUGUUUUCAAAAGUAUGGGAAAAUGUGGGGGUGAGUAUUCUGAAAAUUUC